rnacentral:rRNA from 1 species
GAUGAACGCUGGCGGCGUGCCUAAUACAUGCAAGUCGAGCGAACAGACGAGGAGCUUGCUCCUCUGACGUUAGCGGCGGACGGGUGAGUAACACGUGGAUAACCUACCUAUAAGACUGGGAUAACUUCGGGAAACCGGAGCUAAUACCGGAUAAUAUAUUGAACCGCAUGGUUCAAUAGUGAAAGACGGUUUUGCUGUCACUUAUAGAUGGAUCCGCGCCGCAUUAGCUAGUUGGUAAGGUAACGGCUUACCAAGGCAACGAUGCGUAGCCGACCUGAGAGGGUGAUCGGCCACACUGGAACUGAGACACGGUCCAGACUCCUACGGGAGGCAGCAGUAGGGAAUAUUCCGCAAUGGGCGAAAGCCUGACGGAGCAACGCCGCGUGAGUGAUGAAGGUCUUCGGAUCGUAAAACUCUGUUAUUAGGGAAGAACAAAUGUGUAAGUAACGAUGCACGUCUGGACGGUACCUAAUCAGAAAGCCACGGCUAACUACGU